ACCGUUAAGAAGAAGUGUUAUGUAUGCGAUUAUUCCAUUUUAUCUUUUAUUUUCAUAAUUAAUUUAUUAAUUAAAUAAUUAAAAAUAUAAUAUGAAUUAUAUUAUUAUUUCUCCCUUCCUCACACCCCUCAUUCACCUCCACCCUAGAAUCACAUCAACGCCUCCUGUAGAGGAGGCGACGUCUUCGAUCAGCCCUUCCAUGGUGGCGACGGCGACGGCAACGGCGAUGGCGACGCGCCCGCCACACCGAGCGGCAACGGCCAUAGCCUCUCCAUGUCGUGACUCUCCUCCCUUCAGCCAUAAACCCCGCGCCACCAGGUGCGGCGAUUCGUGCUGCCUGCCACGACGUGCCCCUAUCUCGUCGCCCUGGUCCUCGUCGCUACCCUAGGCUUCGCGAUCUGCGCCGCAUCCCCCAUCUCGCCGCCCCUAUUGUCUGGUAACCCUAGCCGCACCGCCUGGUCCCCCUCGCACUGCCUGCUUUCCUCCCUGUUCUCAUUUUCUCUAUCCUUGUCGCAUCUCCGAUCGAUUCAUGCUCCAGAUGCUUGGAAUCUGGUGUUCUGCAGCUCUGACUCUUCUCUAACGAGGUUGAGCAAGACUCCGUGCAAUCACCGGAGGCAUCUGCUGCUAAAACAACCUUGGAAAAUAUGACACCAACUGAACUUGGAAGUUCAGGGGCUUGAAGUUCUGAUGCAGCCUUCUUUUGGAAGUCUUUUUUGUAGUUUCUUCCUAUGGUCCACAUGUUUUCAAGUUUCUCUUCUCUCUCUCUCUCUCUCUCAAUAAUAUUGAUGGAUAUAUUUAUGUAGAUUGUGGCAGGAUGAAGAGAGUAGAGUAUAUUUAGUUAAAGAGCUGGAUAAGAGAAUGGUUUGGUGAAUUUCACAUUCUGAAUUUCACAUUCUAUAUAUAAAUAUAUAUCUCAAAUUUGCCUACUUUUUCUGGUUAAGAUGGAAGAAUUUCACAGACUGACUGGGUGAUGGCAUCUUUGUGUGUAUUAUGUCAGGGAAAGUCUUCAAUUUCUGUAGAUGAUAACAUCAUUCUUGCAAUUCAUUUCUUAUUUCUUGAUUUUUCACUUGUAUAUUUUCACGAUUUUCUCAAUGAUUUGAACUUUUCAUGGAUUUUCGAGUCAAUCUUGACUUUGAUUUCCUUUCUUUCUUGUAUUUCCAUUGCUAUUUCACCCCCCAUUUAUCUCUCUCUCACUCAUUUUUGUUGUGGUUUGAAGAGGGGAAAACUAAUUGCUAAUCUUUUCUAUUAAUAAUCCAGCGAUAUGAUUAACAUAUGCUUUGGUUUGAGAUUAAAUUUCUUUAAAUCUGAACCCAGUAGUCAAUUCUUGAGGAUUUUCUUAUCUUCCUUAUUAUUCUAAACUGAUUAAUGUCGAUUAAAGCUUCGUUCAGCAACGUGGCAAAUGUGCUGCUGGACUGGGAUGAGGUGCACAAUGAAGAUUUCUGUUCAUCGAGAGGUGUAUCUUGUGGAAAUCUCACCAUGUCUGUUGUUGCUCUGAAUCUCUCAAAUCUCAACUUGGGUGGAGAAAUCUCACCUGCCAUUGGAGAUUUGAGGAACCUUGAGUCUGCGUUUGUGGUGGAUUAAAUGAGUCGUACGUUGAGCUGAAGAGGCUUGUGAAUUCACAAGAAAAGUUGUACCAUAUGGCUAGCUAGUUGCAUAUUUAAUAUGUUUAGUAUUUUUGUAAGGCAUAAUAGUAUAGAUAGAGCAGUUGUUGAAUUUUGACUAUAUUCAAAUCUUGUAUGAAUUCUUUUUUAUGAUAAUAAUAUAAAAUUAAAUA